GUGAGGAAUAUUGGGCAAUGGGCGAAAGCCUGACCCAGCCACGCCGCGUGAGUGAUGAAGGCCUUCGGGUUAUAAAGCUCUGUGGGGAGGGAAGAAAAAGCGGGAGAGUAACUGCUCUCGUGUUGACGGUACCUCCUUAGCAAGCACCGGCUAACUCUGUGCCAGCAGCCGCGGUAAUACAGAGGGUGCAAACGUUGCUCGGAAUUACUGGGCGUAAAGCGCGUGUAGGCUGACAUGCAAGUCGGGUGUGAAAUCCCAGGGCUCAACCUUGGAACUGCGCUCGAAACUGCACGUCUUGAGUACUGGAGAGGGAAGCGGAAUUCCGGGUGUAGAGGUGAAAUUCGUAGAUAUCCGGAGGAACACCAGUGGCGAAGGCGGCUUCCUGGACAGUAACUGACGCUGAGACGCGAAAGCGUGGGGAGCAAACAGGAUUAGAUACCCGAGUAGUCC
rnacentral:rRNA from 1 species